rnacentral:misc_RNA from 1 species
AGCCUGAGAAUCAGUAAAUAUGAGAAUUCAUUAUGAGAAGAAAUGAGUUGAUAAUUGUCACAAGUAUGGAGUUGUUAAUGGCCUGAGAUUCAUGCUGGAAAAAUUUUGCUUAGUUUAUCAUGCAUUAUAAUGAUUUAGGGAAGAUAAAAGCUUAUGGUUUUAAGGCAAAUAGCCGUGCAAGCAGAAAAGUUUUUCCGUUUCAAUAAAGCUAUGAAUACUACCUGAG